GCGAGUGGUUUAUCAGAUCCCACCCCCACUCCCCGGCUGGGGACACCUACACACCCAGCUCUGCCCGACCCCGGCGGCCGAGAAGGGGCGAAGGACACCAACGAGAAAGCGGACUGCACAGGAAGCUAAAAUGUCCGCUUCUCCCAGCGCCCGUGCGGGCCGGGAGGGGGCGGGGGCCGCGGCCCGCUUCCGAGAGCAACAGGACCUGCGGGGCUACUGAGCAUGCCCGUCCCGCCGCCGCCGAGGGUUGCUCUGGCUCCGAGCUCCGGGCUUUCCCGGCCGCCCGCGGGAAGGACGCUCCUGUGGGUGCUUCCCCCGCCCGGCACUCGGACUUGCGAGGCCGGUAGGUGGGGUCCUGCUGGGUGCCCCGCUGGGUUUGCGUUGAAGUUCUGUGCCGUUCCAUAGCACAUUUGGAGCUUUACCGUCUUACUCUGAGUCCACCCUCUGGAUUAGAUCGUGUGCAGAGCUGCCUGCUCCCUGUUUUGCUGGAUGUGGGGAGGGAGAAGGAGGGAUACGGGUCCUUAACUCGUUUCAGAGGCGUCUUUUAAAGUCUUAAUCUGUGCUGUUCCCUUUUCCCAGUUACGAUCCAGUGGAGUGGACUUUGCCAAAACUCUGAUAUUCAAUUCAAUAAACGUAUCCGAGUUAAUUCAUCCAGUAUCCUCAUAUAGUCUCUGAAGAUGCAGAAAUCAGAUUCGCCUC
rnacentral:lncRNA from 1 species